GAACGCUGGCGGCAGGCCUACANAUUCNCCUCGAGCGGUAACAGAGAGUAGCUUGUACUCUGCUGACGAGCGGCGGACGGGUGAGUAAUGCUUGGGAAUAUGCCUUAUGGUGGGGGACAACAGUUGGAAACGACUGCUAAUACCGCAUGAUGUCUACGGACCAAAGUGGGGGACCUUCGGGCCUCACGCCAUAAGAUUAGCCCAAGUGGGAUUAGCUAGUUGGUGAGGUAAUGGCUCACCAAGGCGACGAUCCCUAGCUGGUUUGAGAGGAUGAUCAGCCACACUGGGACUGAGACACGGCCCAGACUCCUACGGGAGGCAGCAGUGGGGAAUAUUGCACAAUGGGCGCAAGCCUGAUGCAGCCAUGCCGCGUGUGUGAAGAAGGCCUUCGGGUUGUAAAGCACUUUCAGUAAGGAGGAAAGGUUAAGUGUUAAUAGCACUUAGCUGUGACGUUACUUACAGAAGAAGCACCGGCUAACUCCGUGCCAGCAGCCGCGGUAAUACGGAGGGUGCGAGCGUUAAUCGGAAUUACUGGGCGUAAAGCGUACGCAGGCGGUUUGUUAAGCGAGAUGUGAAAGCCCCGGGCUCAACCUGGGAACUGCAUUUCGAACUGGC
rnacentral:rRNA from 1 species